rnacentral:lncRNA from 1 species
GCAGGCUGUGGUUAGUUUGAGCACACUGCAGGACCAAUGGAACCUGAAUGAUAUGCUGGAGGCUACCCUGGAUUAUGAUCUGCUGCUUGUCAUUUGGUAGGCUGGAUGGAGCUUCUUGUGCUUCAUGCAGAAUGGUGGCUUUAUGCAUGCUGUGGAGGGCAGGAGCACUCUGCAUGAAUAACUGUUCCUUGAUGCAGCCUGGGAGGAGAGUGAACUCAUUUCAUGU